rnacentral:rRNA from 1 species
GGAUGAACGCUAGCUACAGGCUUAACACAUGCAAGUCGAGGGGCAGCAUGAUUGAAGCUUGCUUCAAUCGAUGGCGACCGGCGCACGGGUGAGUAACACGUAUCCAACCUGCCGAUAACUCGGGGAUAGCCUUUCGAAAGAAAGAUUAAUACCCGAUAGUAUAGUAUUUCCGCAUGGUUUCACUAUUAAAGAACUUCGGUUAUCGAUGGGGAUGCGUUCCAUUAGAUAGUUGGCGGGGUAACGGCCCACCAAGUCAACGAUGGAUAGGGGUUCUGAGAGGAAGGUCCCCCACAUUGGAACUGAGACACGGUCCAAACUCCUACGGGAGGCAGCAGUGAGGAAGAUUGGUCAAUGGACGAGAGUCUGAACCAGCCAAGUAGCGUGAAGGAUGACUGCCCUAUGGGUUGUAAACUUCUUUUAUACGGGAAUAAAGUGGAGUAUGCAUACUCCUUUGUAUGUACCGGAUGAAUAAGGAUCGGCUAACUCCGUG